rnacentral:rRNA from 1 species
CGCAGAUACCAGGUGGCUGCAACUGUUUAUUAAAAACACAGCACUGUGCAAAAUCGUAAGAUGACGUAUACGGUGUGACGCCUGCCCGGUGCCGGAAGGUUAAUUGAUGGGGUUAGACUUCGGUCGAAGCUCUUGAUCGAAGCCCCGGUAAACGGCGGCCGUAACUAUAACGGUCCUAAGGUAGCGAAAUUCCUUGUCGGGUAAGUUCCGACCUGCACGAAUGGCGUAAUGAUGGCCACGCUGUCUCCACCCGAGACUCAGUGAAAUUGAAAUCGCUGUGAAGAUGCAGUGUACCCGCGGCUAGACGGAAAGACCCCGUGAACCUUUACUACAGCUUGGCACUGAACAUUGACCCUACAUGUGUAGGAUAGGUGGGAGGCUUUGAAGCACGUACGCCAGUAUGUGUGGAGCCGUCCUUGAAAUACCACCCUUGUAGUGUUGAUGUUCUAACGUCGACCCCUUAUCGGGGUUGCGGACAGUGCCUGGUGGGUAGUUUGACUGGGGCGGUCUCCUCCCAAAGAGUAACGGAGGAGCACGAAGGUGGGCUAAUCACGGUUGGACAUCGUGAGGUUAGUGCAAUGGCAUAAGCCCGCUUGACUGCGAGAAUGACAAUUCGAGCAGGUGCGAAAGCAGGUCAUAGUGAUCCGGUGGUUCUGAAUGGAAGGGCCAUCGCUCAACGGAUAAAAGGUACUCCGGGGAUAACAGGCUGAUACCGCCCAAGAGUUCAUAUCGACGGCGGUGUUUGGCACCUCGAUGUCGGCUCAUCACAUCCUGGGGCUGAAGUCGGUCCCAAGGGUAUGGCUGUUCGCCAUUUAAAGUGGUACGCGAGCUGGGUUUAGAACGUCGUGAGACAGUUCGGUCCCUAUCUGCCGUGGGCGUUGGAAGAUUGAAGGGGGCUGCUCCUAGUACGAGAGGACCGGAGUGGACGAACCUCUGGUGUUCGGGUUGUGUCGCCAGACGCAUUGCCCGGUAGCUAAGUUCGGAAUCGAUAACCGCUGAAAGCAUCUAAGCGGGAAGCGAGCCCUGAGAUGAGUCUUCCCUGAUACUUUAAGUAUCCUAAAGGGUUGUCGGAGACUACGACGUUGAUAGGUCAGGUGUGUAAGUGCUGUGAGGCAUUGAGCUAACUGAUACUAAUUGCCCGU